rnacentral:rRNA from 1 species
AUGAACGCUGGCGGCGUGCCUAACACAUGCAAGUCGCACGGAGAUUACGGACGGAAGUUUUCGGAUGGAAGACUGUAAUUCUUAGUGGCGGACGGGUGAGUAACGCGUGGGCAACCUGCCCUAUACAGGGGGAUAGCAGCUGGAAACGGCUGGUAAGACCGCAUAAGUCGGCGAGACCGCAUGGUUUUGCCGGGAAAUGAGCAAUCAGGUAUAGGAUGGGCCCGCGUCCGAUUAGCCAGUUGGCAGGGUAAAAGCCUACCAAAGCAACGAUCGGUAGCCGGACUGAGAGGUCGGACGGCCACAUUGGGACUGAGACACGGCCCAAACUCCUACGGGAGGCAGCAGUGGGGGAUAUUGCACAAUGGAGGAAACUCUGAUGCAGCGACGCCGCGUGAGUGAAGAAGUAUUUCGGUAUGUAAAGCUCUAUCAGCAGGGAAGAUGAUGACGGUACCUGACUAAGAAGCCCCGGCUAACUACGUG